rnacentral:lncRNA from 1 species
GCCGUUGCAUAUUACAGGAUACAGUCAAUGAUAUGUGGACAUGCAUCAAAGCUUCGCUCUUGCUGGUGACAUCAUAGCCUUCCAAUGACCAUGACAUCCACCACCUCCCCCUUGUGAAGCUCCACAUACUGCUCUGUCUUUGGAGGUAGCAUCAACAGUCCAUUGGCACUGCGCAUACUCAUCAGACGACUGCUCAUCUGAUUCCCUGUACUCUGUGCCCAAGGUAGUGGUUCUUGGUGAUGCCAAGUCAGUAUGCACCGAUGAUAUUCUGGGCGGGGGUCCA